rnacentral:rRNA from 1 species
UACAGAGGUCUCAAGCGUUGUUCGGAUUCAUUGGGCGCAAAGGGUGCGUAGGCGGCGCGGUAAGUCGGGUGUGAAAUCUUGGAGCUUAACUCCGAAACUGCAUUCGAUACUGCCGUGCUUGAGGACUGGAGGGGAGACUGGAAUUUACGGUGUAGCGGUGAAAUGCGUAGAUAUCGUAAGGAAGACCAGUGGCGAAGGCGGGUCUCUGGACAGUUCCUGACGCUGAGGCACGAAGGCCAGGGGAGCAAACGGG